CAGCCGUAAACAAUGUGCGUUAGGUGUGUCGGUAACCACGUGUUACUGAUGCGCCGAAGAGAAAUCGUGAAACGCACCACCUGGGAAGUACGGUCGCAAGGCUGAAACUUAAAGGAAUUGGCGGGGGAGCACCACAACAGGUGGAGCCUGCGGUUUAAUUGGAUUCAACGCCGGACAUCUCACCGGAUAAGGCAGCUGAAUGAUUGUCAAUCUGAAGGUUUUACAUGACUAGCUGAGAGGAGGUGCAUGGCGUCAGUGACU
rnacentral:rRNA from 1 species